rnacentral:rRNA from 1 species
GAAGAGUAUUUUUAAGUUAGCAUAUAUGGAUAAAUAUUAAAAGUAUCCGCAGCGAUAUGCAAUUUUGAAGUUAAAAUGGAAGGAAGGAACUCGGCAAAUCUUAGCUUCGCCUGUUUAUCAAAAACAUGGCUCUCUGUUACUUUAAUAUAGGGAGUCGGACCUGCCCAGUGAAAUUUUUUAACGGCCGCGGUACCCUGACCGUGCAAAGGUAGCAUAAUCAUUUGCCUUAUAAUUGAAGGCUUGUAUGAAUGGUUUGACGGGAGCAUUGCUGUCUCCCUCCCAGUAGAUAGAACUUGACCUUUAGGUGAAGAGGCCUAAAUAUAAUUGAAAGACAAGAAGACCCUGUCGAGCUUUAAAAUUAGAUUAGAGGGAAAUAUAAAAUAGCCUAAAUUUAUAGCUAAUUGGUUUUUUGGUUGGGGCGACCGAGGAACAGCAAGAGCUUCCUUUAUCUAAGCUGACUUAUAGGUAUUGAUCCAGCCUAAAGCUGAUUAAAAAAAUUAGUUACCGCAGGGAUAACAGCAUAAUCUCUCUUAAGAGACCAAAUCGAAAGAGGGGGUUGUGACCUCGAUGUUGGACUAGAAUAUCCUGAAGAUGCAGAAU